CUCUCCCGGGGUCCAGGACGCUUGACGUUUCGGAGGGUCGCGCGAUGGGGCUUGAAGAGAACAGCGGGAAAUCCCCAAAGCUGUGGCCCUGGGGCACGAUCCCUGUCCACCCUGUCGGACACCCCGAGGACCCCUAAAUUCCGAGGCUCGGGUGCCCAGUCCUCUGUCUUCUGCGUCGAGACGCGCCCGGAGCCCACCGGCCCAGCGGUUGCUACCUCCUGCAGGACGCGAAGCCUCUAGCGGCCUGACGGUGAUGGGGGGGGACCCACCUCUCCGCGCCCCCGCGUCCGGGGUCCCCGGCGCCGCGCAGCCUCGCGCCUGAGCGCCCCUCCGCCCCCGCGCGUCCUCCACGCUGGCAAGCAGGCGAGAAUCCAAGAAAAAGAAGCUGGAGAGAGUGGCGCACGAGAGAAACAGGGAGGAUUUUACCAAGGCUCCCGCAAACGCCAAGCGGAGGGGAGGCAGAGGUGCAGGAAUAGUCCCCGGGUGCCGGGGCUGCUGUCUGAUACUCUUCGGGGCUCCAAGACAGAGCCGGGUGAAAACCGGAGACCGUGAGCCCCGCCGAGGUCCGGAAACGUGGCCAGUUUCCCCUUCACCCGGGCGGCGGCGUUCACAGCGGGGGGGCGCCAGGGUGGAAGCCCCGGAGAGGGAAAGGUCCCCUGCACGCCCCCACGAGGUCACCGCUUCCCUAGCCUUAGGUGCCUGGCCUGGCGCAGCGCUCUGAGCGAGGCAGCCUUUUCCGGACGUCUCUCAGUCCCUGGUACAUUCCGGCAAGUGGCCCUGGAGGGAAAGCGCCCCCGCUGGCCCUUUUCUGUCAUACUCGAUUUUGUGGCCAAAAGGGGUCUCCUAAGCGCGCCAGGCCCCUGCGGUGGACUGGGGGUCGCCCCCGACGCGGUUCCUCUUGCUGUCUAGCCCUCUCCCGCGCAGAUCCGACCAACAGCGCCUUAUUUGGGCAUGCAACCCCACACCGUCAAUUAGAUCAAAACGCUCACACAGAGCUCCUUUCUCCCCCCCUUAAAGUAGGUCAUUCUCUUUAUUUCCUACUUGUAAAUUAUUUGUGUCUAAUUCUCCUCCUGAAAAAUAAUCAGCUGCAAGGAGCUUUGAGCAUCCUAAGAGCAGCUGUUAUUCUCAGGCUUGCUUCUGACUUGGAGGGCUUUUCAAGAAAGAGGAGGAGGCAUUUGGCCCGUCAUGGUUUUGAAGUCCCUCCGUUUCCAAAAGAAGAAACUUUUUUUUUUUUUGAUGUAUUUUAUUUUGUUUUGUUUUUCUACCCCAUCCUUUUCCUCCAGGCAAGUAGGUUUCACGCCGCCUUUAGAGCGUGGCCAUGACUAAUAUUACUAAAGGAUGAAAUUGCCUACUUCUAACCGGGUUUAAAGCAGAAUUUAAAGUCACCUCCCUUCCUUUUUUGCUUUGGAAGAGAUUC
rnacentral:lncRNA from 1 species